CGCUCGUAGUCGGAUUUCGGGGCGGGCCGACCGGUCUGCCGAUGGGUAUGCACUGGCCGGCGCGUCCUUCCACCCGGAGACCGCGCCUACUCUUAACUGAGCGGGCGCGGGAGACGGGUCUUUUACUUUGAAAAAAUCAGAGUGUUUCAAGCAGGCAGUCGCUCUUGCAUGGAUUAGCAUGGGAUAAUGAAAUAGGACUCUGGUGCUAUUUUGUUGGUUUCGAACACCGGAGUAAUGAUUAACAGGGACAGUCAGGGGCACUCGUAUUCCGCCGAGAGAGGUGAAAUUCUCAGACCAGCGGAAGACGAACCACUGCGAAAGCAUUUGCCAGGGAUGUUUUCACUGAUCAAGAACGAAAGUUAGGGGAUCGAAGACGAUCAGAUACCGUCGUAGUCUUAACCAUAAACCAUGCCGACUAGGGAUUGGAGGAUGUUCCAUUUGUGACUCCUUCAGCACCUUUCGGGAAACUAAAGUCUUUGGGUUCCGGGGGGAGUAUGGUCGCAAGGCUGAAACUUAAAGGAAUUGACGGAAGGGCACCACCAGGAGUGGAGCCUGCGGCUUAAUUUGACUCAACACGGGGAAACUUACCAGGUCCAGACAUUGUGAGGAUUGACAGAUUGAGAGCUCUUUCUUGAUUCGAUGGGUGGUGGUGCAUGGCCGUUCUUAGUUGGU
rnacentral:rRNA from 1 species